CGUGCCUGAUGACAUAGAUUUCAUUGCUGAGUGAUAUUGCAUUGUACAUAAAAUCAUCGUACCUGAAUCCACUCAUUAUGGUGCUACGGGCCUGAUGACAUAGAUUUCAUUGCUGAGUGAUAUUGCAUUGUACUUAAAAUCAUCAUACCUGAAUCCACUUAUUAUGCUGCUACGGGCCUGAUGACAUAGAUUUCAUUGCUGAGUGAUAUUGCAUUGUA